rnacentral:lncRNA from 1 species
AUUCUUGAAGCUAUAAAGAAAACUGAAAUCAAAAGCCCUGUAAGGAGACUCUGCCAUAUAUUCAGAAUUUCUCACAAGUUAUAUAAGAUGAAAGACUUUGAACAAUGAGAACUCUGGUUGGCUCAGGACUGAAAGUCCCAAUGGAAGUCUUGUUUCAGGGAAGGCUCAAGGCCAUUUUGAGAAGUGUUUAUCAGUUAAACAAGGUACUUUUCCUAACUCAUCCAGAGGCCUACAGAACCAGGAAAUGAUCUUGACAAGAAAAAUUGGGAUACACAUUUAAAAACAAACUGCCAAGACUGAGAAGCCACAUAACUCCUCUCUGAAUAAUGUAGGGAAGUAUCUGAGAUGUUAUAGUGAUCUUGCAAGUAUCAUUAACAACCUAGAUUUUUACACUGGCUGUAACUGGAGGUUAAAGGCACCAUGAAAUGAAUGGUUGCUGAAAAAUGGGCUAUACAACAAAAGGGCCAAUUACAGAAGCUCAAUUGUCAAACUCAAGUGCCUUUCAUCUUAGCAUCCAUCUGUCAGCCUUUUAUGCCAUGAAAAAGAUCCUGUGCCACUUCCAUUUUAAUAUGUAAAUUACAGAAUCAAAUCAUGAAAAGAAACCAGAAUCCCUAUCUUAUACAUUGUAACAAUAGUGGAUACAGUUUGAAAUUUUAUAAUAAUUAAUAAAAAAUAUAAAGUCCUUAAGAUAGCAUGGCAUCAAACACUAGGCAUAUGCUGAAUCCAAGGCUAAACUGCAGAUAAUAUGCUUGCCUGUGAUUCCUGUAUUAGAAGAUUGCUUAUGGAAUGGCAUGAUCCACCACUUUUCAGAAUUCCAGAAGGGGUGUGGAUUUUCAUGAUAACGGUGUGAGAUAUAUAUCUCACACCCACACAUAUAUAUAUACCUAUUGAACAACUAACUGAAAUAUGAAUCAGGCAAAGACUGUUGUCUGUUACCAGUGUGGAAGGAUGUAAAAAUGCAUUCAAAGGAAGGGUGUCACCUGAUACUAAAAUUAAACUAAGCAUCAAGCAGAAAAGUAGAAAAGUACAGGUCUAAAUGAUGUAGCUGGGCAUGGUGGCACAUGCCUUUAAUCCCAGCACUCGGGAGGCAGAGGCAGGCAGAUUUCUGAGUUCGAGGCCAGCCUGGUCUACAAAGUGAGUUCCAGGAUAGCCAGGGCUAUACAGAGAAACCCUGUCUCAAAAAACAAAAAACAAAAAACCAAAACCAAAACAAACAAAAAAACAAACAAAAAAAUAGGUCUACAUGUGAUUGGUAACAAGGAUAUUGUUAUGGAAGAGGACGUAGAUGUUUGUAAGCAGACUUAUGAAUUGUCCUGGGGAAAAUAAUAUAAAAUUCCAUUGGAAGACUAUAGUACCUUUCUAUAAUAUAAUUUAUGAAAUAUAAAAUUCAAGCCUGGUAUUCUUUAUGUCUCCCACAUUCAAGACUGUCAAAGCUUCAUCUUUAUGAAUUCUGUCUUAAAUAUAUGAAAUUUAAGAAGUGUGGAUGGUUUCAUGCUCUAGCAAAUGAAAUUAACCAAUGAAAUGUACUUUCAGUAUUUGAAGUUGAUGCGAAUAUAAUGUAAAAUCUAUUGUCCAAACUGUGCUUUUUAACAAAAGUCGUCCUGGACCAUCAAACAUUGUAUUAUGAUAUUAAAUCAUUUUUUCAUGACCUUACAAAAAUGAUGAGAAAGGGUACCCUUUAGUUGGAUAUUUUUGUAAGGAAAAGAUUUGUCAGCAGAAGUACAAGGUCUAAGGCAUAAUGAUCAUGCCUCCAUAUCAAAGAAUCAGAUAUGGAUAGCUUCUUACCAAUUUCAGAGUUUUGCUUUCUAGAGAAAAUAAAAUGGCUUUCUAAACAGCAACUCAAUAAUCUGAAUUGUCUCUAUUAGUUGACCUGUUGGAACAAUAUCAUCAAAGAAUAACUCAAUCCUCUACCAAAAUAAACACAUCAGCAUCAAGGUUAUUAAGAAAGCCACAGGCAUGUGUCCAUACAACCUGUCACCACUUGCUGCACCUUCAUAUUACUGGCACAAAAUAUGACAAGUUUGUCAUAAUUAGGAAGUAAGGGUAAAUAAUGAGACAUUAAAAAUGCUGAAAACCUUUUCCUGAAUAAUGAACUUUAUCCAGAGUGUCAGAAGCAGAUGCUGAUUUCAAUGUUGUACUUUCAUAUGAAGAGAAAGAAGCUGAGAAGAUAACAUAGCUCACUAGGUACUGAGGAAGGAAGGAAGGAAGGAAGGAAGGAAGGAAGGAAGGAAGGAAGGGAGGAAGGAAGGAAGGAAGGAAGGAAGGAGCAAUAAACCUUGUCAUAUCGAGCUAACAGAUGAUAGUCACCUGAAAAAGUACAAUGUAAAAGUACAUAUUUGUAUUAUCCAAAGAGCUGGCCAGCAUUGGAGCAAAAGCAAGGCUGAGAAUAGAGCUUAGUUUAAGCACUUGUUCAAUGUUUACAUGCAAUAGGUCGCAGGUUCAUUUCAUAGUACUACCACCAUGAUCAAUAAUAAUAAUAGAAAUUAAAGGAAGAUUAAGAGCAUUAUAAUAAUACCUUUUCUGGUCCAAGGUCUAGUGAAUUUCCAGGUUCUCUUCCUUGGUACUAGCCAAAGUCUCUUCUAGAUCAUCAAUAGUUUUCUCCAACUUUGCCACAUACCUUUCCUGAAGUGACAAAUGCAAUAAAGCAGCUAUUUGACCGCUCAGAUGAAGAAGAGAGGUCAAAGCCAUAGUUGGGGCCUCUCUGUAAAUUAGAGGUGGAGGAAGAUGGCAGGAAUCACAUUCUGAGAAAAGCAUCACAACAUCAAAAAUGAAAAGAAAAGGCAGAAGAAGAGGAAGACCCUAUGAUGGAUAUCCUUGAGGUAUAUGAUCACAGACAUGCAGUUCUA